GGUAAUUGAGAAAUUUCCAGAAGUGACUGAUAAAAUAAUUACAAUGAAUUAGAGAAUAUCACAAACCUAAAUUUUUACCACUGAGAGGGGAACCCUGAUAGAAAAGGCAGCCCUGGGCAUUUAAUCUAAUUGGAUAGUUAGCUUUGGCAAAGGCUGUCUUGUGCUGUCAGACUGGCUGAUAAGCAUCAGGUAAGGACUUCGUAACAAAGAAGUCAGUUCUAGCUGAAUCAACUGUCUGGAUUUUUCCUGUGAUGUUUUAGCAGCUGCUUUUGGUUUAUGCGGCCCUAGUGUUGCAGGAUCCCAGCUAACUAACCUAUGCAGGUCCCACGUGAACCUUUUCAGUGUGGAUUCGGAGGUCUUCUCAAUGCUCAAGAAAGACUGAAAGAUGUCACUCCACGCAUUUAGGGCUAUUCCAUGCACCUAUAGCAUUGUUGGGAGGCAAAAUGAACAUCACUCUUAAUUCUAAACACAGCUUAAAAUGAGCUCAGUGUGGUGACAAUCCCACUGAUGCUUCUUAUCUUCCUUUGGUAGGGCCAGCUUGGUUUCUAAGAUGCUAGGUCAAAAAUCAUUUAAUUUAGAAUUUUUAAUGUGCUCUUAAAUUUCACCACUAAAAUCUUAAUCAUAAGAAGAAAAUCAGAAUUAAAUUUUUUUCCCUCUACCUGUUUUUCCCUCUCUUAUAUUUGAAUGGUCUGAUUUGCCCUCGAGCAUUUUUUUUUCAACAUUGAUUUUCAAUUUAUAAAGGACUCUUAUGUGUACUUCAUGGAAACAAUACAAAGUGGGGCAGCUUUAUGCACAGCAGUGCCCAUGUGUCAUAUGUGAGCUCUUAGGCUUCAGAGUUAAAUACGGACUGCUCUUCCUGAUAGAGGACCACAGAUGCUGGCUGACCCAGCUUUUAGAGCUGAGGUUAACAGAUGUGUCUGACCUGGUAGGAAGGGAAAGACUACAGGAAAUCUGCAGCAACAGUAUGGUUGUCAUAAGCUGAAGGGAGCAGAGAUACCUAGGAAGUUAACUUGGAAAGAAGGGAUACCUGGACAGUGUUGUUGGUUUUUACUUUCAAAUUAUUAGCUAAUUGCUUUUUUUUUUUUUUUUUUCUUUUUUUUUUGUCUUUUUGUUGUUGUUGUUGCUAUUUCUUGGGCCGCUCCCGCGGCAUAUGGAGGUUCCCAGGCUAGGGGUCCAAUCGGAGCUGUAGCCACCGGCCUACGCCAGAGCCACAGCAACGCGGGAUCCGAGCCGCAUCUGCAACCUGCACCACAGCUCACGGCAAUGCCGGAUCGUUAACCCACUGAGCAAGGGCAGGGACCGAACCCGCAACCUCAUGGUUCCUAGUCGGAUUCGUUAACCACUGCACCACGACGGGAACUCCGCUAAUUGCUUUUGUGCUUCAUGUUCUGACUUUCUGAAAUGCCACCAGCAGCCAGCAUGGACUCCAAGGUACCCAGUGAGCAGAGUAAGGGCCAGAGGGGUGUACUGCUCUUCAGUGGACUAAGAGCUUGCAUUUUAAACCUGUUCCCAGAGAAACUGUUUAAAAGAAGAUUUUCCUGGCUGGGUCUUUCCAUACUUCCAACUAACCUAUUUCAGAUGGGCCAUGACAGCACAGUCCUGGGUUUAGAUGUGAGAAGUACUUUAAUGGCUUUGUGAGAAUACUGUUCAAGUGGUGCCUACCUAUUUCUACUUUGAAUUUCCUUACUUCUGAGCACUUGUUGUGCUUAUGAAAUGAACUUCUAUCAUUAGGAUACACGCUUUGCCUGGUACCUCAGAAAACAGCUUUCCCCUGACCUUGAAAUUGACUGUGAUGCCAAAGGGAGUAUAUUUCAGGAGAGCUGAGUGCCCAAGGUACUGAUGCUCCUCCCAGAACAGAGGGCUGAGUGCACCUGUCCUCUUCCAAGCUCUGGCUGUUCAGGUGGAAAUGGCCCACAGGUACCUGGGCUGUGCUCUGGGCCAUUUCUACACCUCAACAGGUGCUGGACCUCUAGGACAUGUCAGUGGACACAACACCCUGGGACAGAACCUAAGGCUUUAGUCAGAUCUUCUUUAAGGAACGCGGAAGCCAAAACAAGGGAUUAGAAAGCCUACUGUUGGAAGAAAGUGGCCAUGAGGGAUUUAUCCAGAUCUUUAAAGAGUGGAAGCAGAGGAGUUGAAUCCUUAACCUUGAAAGGGAGGGGCACGUAUAGUCUAGUCAAAUAUGGUCAGAUGGUUGGUAUCUCAAGAUAAAUGAAUAAAGUUUAAAACACUGGAUAUUAGGUCCUCUGCCAUCUAAGAAUCAGCAUCCAUUUCAGAAAGAAAUUAUACCACUUGGCUAUUUCAUGCCACCUCAGGGAACAGUAAUUUUUAAACAGAAAUAUUAAAGUUUCUUCCACGUCUUCCAUGAGGCUAGAGGAUGUGACACAUAGAAAUAGUGUGACUCUCAUUGUCCUGGGUGUUAAAUCAUGUGUCUUGGUAGUGAAGGGCAGUAUCAUGAGGGAGAGCAUGGAAGGGCAUUGGCCAGUGGAAAUGCACAGGGAUGGUGAGCCUGCAGGUCCGUCUGCAUCUGGGAUGGCCAGUCAUCACUUCAAGUUGUUUGUUUUUUUUUGCAAACUAAAAUAGCACCAUCAGAACCUUUUGGAAAGUACAACACGUUCUGAAAAGUGUGAAUAGAUCUUAAAAGUCCUCAUCACAAGAAAAAACAUGUGGUGCUAUGUAUGGUGAUAUAUGCUAACUAGACUCGUUGCGGUGAUCAUUUUCAAUAUAUGCCAAGUCGAACCAUUAUGUUGCAUGCCUGAACAUAAUGUUUAAUUUUUAAUUAUUUAUAAACAAUUCAAAAAAAAAGAAUCCAAGAAAAAGAAAAGGUUUGAAGAGUUGCUAUUGUGGCCCAGAGAUUUAAGAAUCUAACAUAGUUUCCCCGAGGAUGUGGGUUUGACCCCUGGCCUUGCUCAGUGGCUUAAGGAUCCAGCAUUACCGUGAGCUGUGGUGUAGGCUGCAGAUGUGGCUCAGCUCAGGUGUGGCUGUGGCAUAGGCCUCUGCUGCAGCACAGUCCUGCUUGGACCCCUGGCCCAGGAACUUCUCUGUGCUGCAGGUGUGGCUAUUAAAUAAAAAAAAAAAAGUUUGAGAGGUCUGAGAGUGGACAUAGGUAAAGGCUAUAGAUUACUUGGGACUCAGUAGACACGAACACCGUGGGACACGAACCAAGAUGGCCUGAACUGGCUGGCACAAAUCGACCCUCAGAGCCAGAGGAAAACCAUGAAAGGCAAGAGAUGGGGUUUUACAAAGAAUAUGAAUAGGUCUGGGGUUAGUUUAAUUUUAG
rnacentral:lncRNA from 1 species